rnacentral:rRNA from 1 species
CGUGAGUGAAGAAGGCUUUCGGGUCGUAAAGCUCUGUCAAGUGGGAAAAAAAUCUCAUGAUGAAUAGUCAUGAGGCUUGAUGGUACCACUGGAGGAAGCACCGGCUAACUCCGUGCCAGCAGCCGCGGUAAUACGGAGGGUGCAAGCGUUGAUCGGAAUAAUUGGGCGUAAAGAGCGUGUAGGCGGUAUGGUAAGUCAGAUGUGAAAGCCCUGGGCUCAACCCAGGAAGUGCAUUUGAUACUGCCAUUCUUGAGUAUGGGAGAGGAGAGUGGAAUUCCUAGUGUAGAGGUGAAAUUCGUAGAUAUUAGGAGGAACACCCGUGGCGAAGGCGGCUCUCUGGACCAAUACUGACGCUGAGACGCGAAAGCGUGGGGAGCAAACAGGAUUAGAUACCCUGGUAGUCCACGCCGUAAACGAUGAGAACUAGGUGUAGCGGGUAUUGACCCCUGCUGUGCCGAAGUUAACGCAUUAA